AACGCGAAGAACCUUACCAGGUCUUGACAUCCCUCUGAAGUAGCCUUAGCCGGCUAUGUCCUUCGGGACAGGGGAGACAGGUGGUGCAUGGUUGUCGUCAGCUCGUGUCGUGAGAUGUUGGGUUAAGUCCCGCAACGAGCGCAACCCUUGUGUUUAGUUGCCAACAGGUUAAGCUGUGCACUCUAAACAGACUGCCGUGGAUAACACGGAGGAAGGUGGGGAUGACGUCAAAUCAUCAUGCCCCUUAUGAUCUGGGCUACACACGUGCUACAAUGGUCGGUACAACGGGCAGCGAAAGAGUAAUCUGGAGCGAAUCCUAAAAAGCCGAUCCCAGUUCGGAUUGGGGGCUGAAACUCGCCCACAUGAAGUGGAGUUGCAGUAAUCGCGAAUCAGAAU
rnacentral:rRNA from 1 species